rnacentral:rRNA from 1 species
GUGCCAGCAGCCGCGGUAAUACGGAGGAUGCAAGCGUUAUCCGGAUUUAUUGGGUUUAAAGGGUGCGUAGGCGGAUCAAUAAGUCAGUGGUGAAAACCUGCAGCUUAACUGUAGAUGUGCCGUUGAUACUGUUGGUCUUGAGUAUGGUCAAGGUAGGCGGAAUGUGUAAUGUAGCGGUGAAAUGCUUAGAUAUUACACAGAACACCGAUUGCGAAGGCAGCUUGCUGGGCCAUUACUGACGCUGAUGCACGAAAGCGUGGGGAUCGAACAGGAUUAGAUACCCGCGUAGUCC